AGAGUUUGAUCCUGGCUCAGAUUGAACGCUGGCGGCGUGCCUAAUACAUGCAAGUUGAACGCAACAAAGACACCAGAGCUUGCUCUACCGUCUUUGUUGAGUAGCGAACGGGUGAGUAACGCGUGGGUAACCUGCCUUAUAGCGGGGGAUAACUAUUGGAAACGAUAGCUAAUACCGCAUAACAAUAGAGAUUGCAUAAUCUUUAUUUGAAAGUACCAACUGGUACACUAUGAGAUGGACCCGCGUUGUAUUAGCUAGUUGGUAGUGUAAUGGACUACCAAGGCGAUGAUACAUAGCCGACCUGAGAGGGUGAUCGGCCACAUUGGGACUGAGACACGGCCCAAACUCCUACGGGAGGCAGCAGUGGGGGAUAUUGCACAAUGGAGGAAACUCUGAUGCAGCAACGCCGCGUGAGGGAAGAAGGUUUUCGGAUUGUAAACCUCUGUCCUCGGUGACGAAACAAAUGACGGUAGCCGAGGAGGAAGCUCCGGCUAACUACGUGCCAGCAGCCGCGGUAAUACGUAGGGAGCAAGCGUUGUCCGGAUUUACUGGGUGUAAAGGGUGCGUAGGCGGCUCUGCAAGUCAGGCGUGAAAACUAUGGGCUUAACUCAUAGACUGCGUUUGAAACUGUGGGGCUUGAGUGAAGUAGAGGUAGGCGGAAUUCCCGGUGUAGCGGUGAAAUGCGUAGAGAUCGGGAGGAACACCAGUGGCGAAGGCGGCCUACUGGGCUUUAACUGACGCUGAAGCACGAAAGCAUGGGUAGCAAACAGGAUUAGAUACCCUGGUAGUCCACGCCGUAAACGAUGAGUGCUAGAUGUAGGGAGCUAUAAGUUCUCUGUAUCGCAGCUAACGCAAUAAGCACUCCGCCUGGGGAGUACGACCGCAAGGUUGAAACUCAAAGGAAUUGACGG
rnacentral:rRNA from 1 species